UACGGAGGGUGCGAGCGUUAAUCGGAUUUACUGGGCGUAAAGGGCGCGUAGGCUGUUAAUCAAGUCAGAUGUGAAAGCCCGUGGCUUAACCACGUGAAGUGCAUCUGAAACUGGUUGACUUGAGUACUGGAGGGGAAGGUGGAAUUCCCGGUGUAGAGGUGAAAUUCGUAGAGAUCGGGAGGAAUACCGGUGGCGAAGGCGACCUUCUGGACAGAUACUGACGCUGAGGCGCGAAAGCGUGGGGA
rnacentral:rRNA from 1 species